rnacentral:rRNA from 1 species
AGCGUACACGGUGGAUGCCCUGGCAGUCAGAGGCGAUGAAGGACGUGCUAAUCUGCGAAAAGCGUCGGUAAGGUGAUAUGAACCGUUAUAACCGGCGAUGUCCGAAUGGGGAAACCCAGUGUGUUUCGACACACUAUCAUUAACUGAAUCCAUAGGUUAAUGAGGCGAACCGGGGGAACUGAAACAUCUAAGUACCCCGAGGAAAAGAAAUCAACCGAGAUUCCCCCAGUAGCGGCGAGCGAACGGGGAGGAGCCCAGAGCCUGAAUCAGUGUGUGUGUUAGUGGAAGCGUCUGGAAAGGCGCGCGAUACAGGGUGACAGCCCCGUACACAAAAAUGCACAUGCUGUGAGCUCGAUGAGUAGGGCGGGACACGUGGUAUCCUGUCUGAAUAUGGGGGGACCAUCCUCCAAGGCUAAAUACUCCUGACUGACCGAUAGUGAACCAGUACCGUGAGGGAAAGGCGAAAAGAACCCCGGCGAGGGGAGUGAAAAAGAACCUGAAACCGUGUACGUACAAGCAGUGGGAGCCCUGAUUUAUCAGGGUGACUGCGUACCUUUUGUAUAAUGGGUCAGCGACUUAUAUUCUGUAGCAAGGUUAACCGAAUAGGGGAGCCGGAGGGAAACCGAGUCUUAACUGGGCGUUAAGUUGCAGGGUAUAGACCCGAAACCCGGUGAUCUAGCCAUGGGCAGGUUGAAGGUUGGGUAACACUAACUGGAGGACCGAACCGACUAAUGUUGAAAAAUUAGCGGAUGACUUGUGGCUGGGGGUGAAAGGCCAAUCAAACCGGGAGAUAGCUGGUUCUCCCCGAAAGCUAUUUAGGUAGCGCCUCGUGAAUUCAUCUCCGGGGGUAGAGCACUGUUUCGGCAAGGGGGUCAUCCCGACUUACCAACCCGAUGCAAACUGCGAAUACCGGAGAAUGUUAUCACGGGAGACACACGGCGGGUGCUAACGUCCGUCGUGAAGAGGGAAACAACCCAGACCGCCAGCUAAGGUCCCAAAGUCAUGGUUAAGUGGGAAACGAUGUGGGAAGGCCCAGACAGCCAGGAUGUUGGCUUAGAAGCAGCCAUCAUUUAAAGAAAGCGUAAUAGCUCACUGGUCGAGUCGGCCUGCGCGGAAGAUGUAACGGGGCUAAACCAUGCACCGAAGCUGCGGCAGCGACGCUGAUGCGUUGUUGGGUAGGGGAGCGUUCUGUAAGCCUGUGAAGGUGUGCUGUGAGGCAUGCUGGAGGUAUCAGAAGUGCGAAUGCUGACAUAAGUAACGAUAAAGCGGGUGAAAAGCCCGCUCGCCGGAAGACCAAGGGUUCCUGUCCAACGUUAAUCGGGGCAGGGUGAGUCGACCCCUAAGGCGAGGCCGAAAGGCGUAGUCGAUGGGAAACAGGUUAAUAUUCCUGUACUUGGUGUUACUGCGAAGGGGGGACGGAGAAGGCUAUGUUGGCCGGGCGACGGUUGUCCCGGUUUAAGCGUGUAGGCUGGUUUUCCAGGCAAAUCCGGAGAAUCAAGGCUGAGGCGUGAUGACGAGGCACUACGGUGCUGAAGCAACAAAUGCCCUGCUUCCAGGAAAAGCCUCUAAGCAUCAGGUAACAUCAAAUCGUACCCCAAACCGACACAGGUGGUCAGGUAGAGAAUACCAAGGCGCUUGAGAGAACUCGGGUGAAGGAACUAGGCAAAAUGGUGCCGUAACUUCGGGAGAAGGCACGCUGAUAUGUAGGUGAAGCGACUUGCUCGUGGAGCUGAAAUCAGUCGAAGAUACCAGCUGGCUGCAACUGUUUAUUAAAAACACAGCACUGUGCAAACACGAAAGUGGACGUAUACGGUGUGACGCCUGCCCGGUGCCGGAAGGUUAAUUGAUGGGGUCAGCGCAAGCGAAGCUCUUGAUCGAAGCCCCGGUAAACGGCGGCCGUAACUAUAACGGUCCUAAGGUAGCGAAAUUCCUUGUCGGGUAAGUUCCGACCUGCACGAAUGGCGUAAUGAUGGCCAGGCUGUCUCCACCCGAGACUCAGUGAAAUUGAACUCGCUGUGAAGAUGCAGUGUACCCGCGGCAAGACGGAAAGACCCCGUGAACCUUUACUAUAGCUUGACACUGAACACUGGUCCUUGAUGUGUAGGAUAGGUGGGAGGCUUUGAAGUGUGGACGCCAGUCUGCAUGGAGCCGUCCUUGAAAUACCACCCUUUAAUGGCUGGUGUUCUAACGUUGGCCCCUUAUCGGGGUUGCGGACAGUGUCUGGUGGGUAGUUUGACUGGGGCGGUCUCCUCCUAAAGAGUAACGGAGGAGCACGAAGGUUGGCUAAUCCUGGUCGGACAUCAGGAGGUUAGUGCAAUGGCAUAAGCCAGCUUGACUGCGAGCGUGACGGCGCGAGCAGGUGCGAAAGCAGGUCAUAGUGAUCCGGUGGUUCUGAAUGGAAGGGCCAUCGCUCAACGGAUAAAAGGUACUCCGGGGAUAACAGGCUGAUACCGCCCAAGAGUUCAUAUCGACGGCGGUGUUUGGCACCUCGAUGUCGGCUCAUCACAUCCUGGGGCUGAAGUAGGUCCCAAGGGUAUGGCUGUUCGCCAUUUAAAGUGGUACGCGAGCUGGGUUUAGAACGUCGUGAGACAGUUCGGUCCCUAUCUGCCGUGGGCGCUGGAGAACUGAGGGGGGCUGCUCCUAGUACGAGAGGACCGGAGUGGACGCAUCACUGGUGUUCGGGUUGUCAUGCCAAUGGCACUGCCCGGUAGCUAAAUGCGGAAGAGAUAAGUGCUGAAAGCAUCUAAGCACGAAACUUGCCCUGAGAUGAGUUCU